UGGCCAAAUUAGGAGCUUUUUUCGGUGGAGAAAGAAUAAUUUGGAUCUUGAAAGACCAGGUUAUAAAUUCAAAUAAUAAAAAAUGCAUGGGUUAGUUCACAAAUAAAGUAGAAUAACGGUUGAGAGAAAUUUGAAAAAAUUUUAGAAUUUCUUAUUACAAAAAAGCACCAACGGCGCGUCAUGGUGGAGGAGAUCUGCAGGGUGUCAUCGCUGCGUCAUCUUUUCCGACAAGUUCUGCCGCUUGUUCUGCUUUUGCUCCGGCGGAUGUGAAGCACUCGGAGUACAAUUUGGGCAUGGACUCAGUGUCGCUGGCUGAGGAGAUCUGAGAGAAGAGCAAAACAGAGAGAUUCAGAUAGGAGAGAGAGCUCGCCUCGCCGUCGUCUUGCCGUCGCCACCGCAGUUCAUCGCCUCUCCAGAUCUGGUCAAAACGCCCAAGCCUCUGAGGAUGUUCCAUUACGACCUCCUUGACGAGACGCAGACCAAGCUCGAUUAUAUCCUCCAUCUCUCUCACUGUUGAGAACUUCCUCGAGUGCCGCCUCCAUAUUCUCGUCUUCAAGUUCGGCAUGGCCAAGUUCAUCCAUCAGUGCAUAUUAGAUCUUUUUACAUCUUUUCACAUUUUUUCUCAAUUUAGGAUUUUUAAAUUCCUAAUUUUCUAUCACUCAUGUUUCUUUAUUUUUUUGUGCUUACUUUAAAGUUUAGAAUCUAAUUUCUUAAACAUUCAAGUAGCUCAAAAUUUUAGUUUGAUAUCUUUGUUGGUUUCUAGGAUUUUGAUAAAUUAUUUAAUUAUGUAUCUAUCUUGGUUCAAAUGAUUGUAGAUGAAGGAUGAUUUCAAGAAGUGACACAAAUUUUACUGUGAGCAGCUUUUUCACAGGCCACAGAGGAGGUUCAUUGAGCUGGAAGCUCUGGAGAAAAUCAUACAGAAAUAUUAUAAGAGUGUCCAAGGAUCUGAAACAUCAAAUGAUUCUGCACAAUCUUCCUCUACUAUGCUUGCUGUUGAAAAAGAUGAUAGAGCUAGAAAAACUAUCAGUGGUAGUGACAAGGGAAUAUUCCCAACUGAAGGGGUGCAGAAAUAAUUUAUGAGCAGGUUACAGGGUUCUCGGCGCGAUAUAAUGAGAUUCAGGAGUCUUGGGAAAACACUCAGAUUGGUCCAGAAUUUCCAUCGAAACUUGAUUGGCUGAAUACAGCUCAACUACAAUUUUGCAGGGAUCUGAAAGGAAAAUUUUAUAUUGUUCCUAUUUUGGAAAGGAUCUUGAUGAUUUUGUGGAGGCAGCACUAAUGUUUUAUGAAAAACAUAAUUUGUUGGAUAAUACACCAAUUACGUUGAAUUUGGAGAAAGAUAAUGAUCCUCGGCUUUCAGCAUCUCCAUUGAAGUUUCCUGGAAAGCUAGCAAUUGAUAUCCUCAACAACAGGCUUUUUAUUUCUGACAGCAACCAUAACCAUAUAGUGAUUACCGACCUUGAUGGGAACUUCAUUGUACAAAUUGGUAGCAAUUGGGAGCAAGGUCUGCAGGAUGGUUCAUUUGAUGAUGCCACCUUUAACAAAUCGGUGACAGUACUUGAAAUUUAAUGGAGAUAUGGAGGAGAUAGAGGAUUCGAUAAGGUUACUAAGUAGCAAGAAUAUUGUCUUCCUUGAUGUUCAUAAUAAGCUGAUGAGUUGGAUUAAGGAUGUGGAAUCAAAUAUGCCUGCAAUUGAUGUGCUGGGAGGCGAUUCACAUAAAUAAAUUGGUGAAAUUUCAGAGCCAGAGGAAGAUGGGAUUUAUUAUAAACUCUUUUUCAUUUCCUUCAAAUUUUUCCAGAAAAAAAAUCACAUUUCAAUAUGAAAGAUGAAAUUGUACAGGAGAAUAUGUGUUUGAUUAAAAUAUGUAGUGUUUGAUCAUUAAAGUAUGGAUAGUAAUUCAGG